AUUGAACGCUGGCGGCAGGCCUAACACAUGCAAGUCGAGCGGAUGAAGGGAGCUUGCUCCUGGAUUCAGCGGCGGACGGGUGAGUAAUGCCUAGGAAUCUGCCUGGUAGUGGGGGAUAACGUCCGGAAACGGGCGCUAAUACCGCAUACGUCCUGAGGGAGAAAGUGGGGGAUCUUCGGACCUCACGCUAUCAGAUGAGCCUAGGUCGGAUUAGCUAGUUGGUGGGGUAAAGGCCUACCAAGGCGACGAUCCGUCACUGGUCUGAGAGGAUGAUCAGUCACACUGGAACUGAAACACGGUCCAGACUCCGACGGGAGGAAGCAGUGGGGAAUAUUGGACAAUGGGCGAAAGCCUGAUCCAGCCAUGCCGCGUGUGUGAAGAAGGUCUUCGGAUUGUAAAGCACUUUAAGUUGGGAGGAAGGGCAGUAAGUUAAUACCUUGCUGUUUUGACGUUACCAACAGAAUAAGCACCGGCUAACUUCGUG
rnacentral:rRNA from 1 species